rnacentral:rRNA from 1 species
UACGUAGGGGGCAAGCGUUGUCCGGAUUUAUUGGGCGUAAAGAGCGUGUAGGCGGCCAGACAGGUCCGUUGUGAAAACUCGAGGCUCAACCUCGAGAUGUCGAUGGAAACCGUCUGGCUAGAGUCCGGAAGAGGGAGAAUGGAAUUCCUGGUGUAGCGGUGAAAUGCGCAGAUAUCAGGAAGAACACCCGUGGCGAAGGCGGUUCUCUGGGACGGUACUGACGCUGAGACGCGAAAGCGUGGGGAGCGAACAGG